GAUGAACGCUGGCGGCGUGCCUAAUACAUGCAAGUCGAGCGAACAGACGAGGAGCUUGCUCCUCUGACGUUAGCGGCGGACGGGAGAGUAACACGUGGAUGACCUAACUAUAAGACUGGGAUAACUUCGGGAAACCGGAGCUAAUACCGGAUAAUAUAUUGAACCGCAUGGUUCACUAGUGAAAGACGGUUUUGCGUUCACUUAUAGAUGGAUCCGCGCCUCAUUAGCUAGUUGGUAAGGUAAUGGCUUAGCCAGGCAACGAUGCGUAGCCGACCUGAGAGGGUGAUCGGCCACACUGGAACUGAGACACAGUCGAGACUCCUACGCGAGGCAGCAGUAGGGAAUCUUCCGCAAUGGGCGAAAGCCUGACGGAGCAACGCCGCGUGAGUGAUGAAGGUCUUAGGAUCGUAAAACUCUGUUAUUAGGGAAGAACAAAUGUGUUAGUAACUAUGCACGUCUUGACGGUACCUAAACAGAAAGCCACGGCUAACUACGUG
rnacentral:rRNA from 1 species